rnacentral:lncRNA from 1 species
AAAAAAAGGGGGUGGGGUAUUUGAAUAGAAACUUCACCUCAGAUACCUGGAUAGAAAAUUAGCAUAUAAAAUGUUCCUACCAGCACUAGUCACUAGGACAAUGUACUUAACAGCACAAUGAAGUAACAAUGAGACUUGACUAGAAAGGCUAAAGUGAAACAGCACUUAUGGUCUCAAGCAUUGCUGAUGUGCAGAAAAUGACUCUCACACAAUUCUCAUGGAAAUUUGAAAUGUUACAGCCACUCUGUAAAAUUUUGCAAAAAAAAAAGUUUAGCAUACAUCAACUCUCCAACAUAGAAUCCUGGAAUUCUAGGUAUUCUUAUAACAGAAAAGAAACAGAAACCAGACACGAUGGUGUAACAUCAUAUUCUCAACACUUGGAAAAUGGACGAAGAGUGAUCAGUGUUCAAGGCCAUCCUCAGCUACUUAUCAAGUGUAAGGCCAGCCUGAGCAUCCUACCUCAAAAACAAAACAAUCAAA